UACAGAGGUCUCAAGCGUUGUUCGGAUUCAUUGGGCGUAAAGGGUGCGUAGGCGGCGCGGUAAGUCGGGUGUGAAAUCUUGGAGCUUAACUCCGAAACUGCAUUCGAUACUGCCGUGCUUGAGGACUGGAGAGGAGACUGGAAUUUACGGUGUAGCGGUGAAAUGCGCAGAUAUCAGGAAGAACACCCGUGGCGAAGGCGGCUCUCUAGUACGGUACUGACGCUGAGACGCGAAAGCGUGGGGAGCGAACAGG
rnacentral:rRNA from 1 species